GUACGGGAGGCAGCAGUGGGGAAUAUUGGACAAUGGGCGAAAGCCUGAUCCAGCAAUGCCGCGUGAGUGAUGAAGGCCUUAGGGUUGUAAAGCUCUUUUACCCGGGAAGAUAAUGACUGUACCGGGAGAAUAAGCCCCGGCUAACUCCGUGCCAGCAGCCGCGGUAAUACGGAGGGGGCUAGCGUUGUUCGGAAUUACUGGGCGUAAAGCGCGCGUAGGCGGCUUUGUAAGUUAGAGGUGAAAGCCCGGAGCUUAACUCCGGAACUGCCUUUAAGACUGCAUCGCUAGAAUUGUGGAGAGGUGAGUGGAAUUCCGAGUGUAGAGGUGAAAUUCGUAGAUAUUCGGAAGAACACCAGUGGCGAAGGCGACUCACUGGACACAUAUUGACGCUGAGGUGCGAAAGCGUGGGGAGCAAACAGGAUUAGAUACCCCGGU
rnacentral:rRNA from 1 species